UUAAGCGACUAAGCGUACACGGUGGAUGCCCUGGCAGUCAGAGGCGAUGAAGGGCGUGCUAAUCUGCGAUAAGCGCCGGUAAGGUGAUAUGAACCGUUAUAACCGGCGAUACCCGAAUGGGGAAACCCAGUGUGAUUCGUCACACUAUCAUUAACUGAAUCCAUAGGUUAAUGAGGCGAACCGGGGGAACUGAAACAUCUAAGUACCCCGAGGAAAAGAAAUCAACCGAGAUUCCCCCAGUAGCGGCGAGCGAACGGGGAGGAGCCCAGAGCCUGAAUCAGCAUGUGUGUUAGUGGAAGCGUCUGGAAAGGCGCGCGAUACAGGGUGACAGCCCCGUACACAAAAGCGCAUGUGCUGUGAGCUCGAUGAGUAGGGCGGGACACGUGGUAUCCUGUCUGAAUAUGGGGGGACCAUCCUCCAAGGCUAAAUACUCCUGACUGACCGAUAGUGAACCAGUACCGUGAGGGAAAGGCGAAAAGAACCCCGGCGAGGGGAGUGAAAAAGAACCUGAAACCGUGUACGUACAAGCAGUGGGAGCCCCACCACUAAGCCAGUGGUGAACUCCACAUCCGCAUCCUUUGCUGAGGAUACGGUUAACGGAGCGAAAGCGACGUUCAACCGCAAAACAAGCAGAGGGGGCUUAGUGGUGGGGUGACUGCGUACCUUUUGUAUAAUGGGUCAGCGACUUAUAUUCUGUAGCAAGGUUAACCGAAUAGGGGAGCCGGAGGGAAACCGAGUCUUAAUUGGGCGUUAAGUUGCAGGGUAUAGACCCGAAACCCGGUGAUCUAGCCAUGGGCAGGUUGAAGGUUGGGUAACACUAACUGGAGGACCGAACCGACUAAUGUUGAAAAAUUAGCGGAUGACCUGUGGCUGGGGGUGAAAGGCCAAUCAAACCGGGAGAUAGCUGGUUCUCCCCGAAAGCUAUUUAGGUAGCGCCUCGUGAAUUCAUCUCCGGGGGUAGAGCACUGUUUCGGCUAGGGGGCCAUCCCGGCUUACCAACCCGAUGCAAACUGCGAAUACCGGAGAAUGUUAUCACGGGAGACACACGGCGGGUGCUAACGUCCGUCGUGAAGAGGGAAACAACCCAGACCGCCAGCUAAGGUCCCAAAGUCAUGGUUAAGUGGGAAACGAUGUGGGAAGGCCCAGACAGCCAGGAUGUUGGCUUAGAAGCAGCCAUCAUUUAAAGAAAGCGUAAUAGCUCACUGGUCGAGUCGGCCUGCGCGGAAGAUGUAACGGGGCUAAACCAUGCACCGAAGCUGCGGCAGCGAACGUAUCACCCAAGACAACUUUACGGAGUUGACGAUUGACGGAGCGAAGCGACGUCAAAGCGUUCAUUAAAGUCGAGUUGGCUUAGGGAUACGUUCGUUGGGUAGGGGAGCGUUCUGUAAGCCUGUGAAGGUGUGUCGUGAGGCAUGCUGGAGGUAUCAGAAGUGCGAAUGCUGACAUAAGUAACGAUAAAGCGGGUGAAAAGCCCGCUCGCCGGAAGACCAAGGGUUCCUGUCCAACGUUAAUCGGGGCAGGGUGAGUCGACCCCUAAGGCGAGGCCGAAAGGCGUAGUCGAUGGGAAACGGGUUAAUAUUCCCGUACUUGGUGUUACUGCGAAGGGGGGACGGAGAAGGCUAUGUUGGCCGGGCGACGGUUGUCCCGGUUUAAGCGUGUAGGUGUGUGUUCCAGGUAAAUCCGGUUCACUUUAACACUGAGGCGUGACGACGAGGCACUACGGUGCUGAAGCAACAAAUGCCCUGCUUCCAGGAAAAGCCUCUAAGCAUCAGGUAACAUCAAAUCGUACCCCAAACCGACACAGGUGGUCAGGUAGAGAAUACCAAGGCGCUUGAGAGAACUCGGGUGAAGGAACUAGGCAAAAUGGUGCCGUAACUUCGGGAGAAGGCACGCUGACACGUAGGUGAAGUGAUUUACUCAUGGAGCUGAAGUCAGUCGAAGAUACCAGCUGGCUGCAACUGUUUAUUAAAAACACAGCACUGUGCAAACACGAAAGUGGACGUAUACGGUGUGACGCCUGCCCGGUGCCGGAAGGUUAAUUGAUGGGGUCAGCGCAAGCGAAGCUCCUGAUCGAAGCCCCGGUAAACGGCGGCCGUAACUAUAACGGUCCUAAGGUAGCGAAAUUCCUUGUCGGGUAAGUUCCGACCUGCACGAAUGGCGUAAUGAUGGCCAGGCUGUCUCCACCCGAGACUCAGUGAAAUUGAACUCGCUGUGAAGAUGCAGUGUACCCGCGGCAAGACGGAAAGACCCCGUGAACCUUUACUAUAGCUUGACACUGAACAUUGAGCCUUGAUGUGUAGGAUAGGUGGGAGGCUUUGAAGUGUGGACGCCAGUCUGCAUGGAGCCGACCUUGAAAUACCACCCUUUAAUGUUUGAUGUUCUAACGUGGACCCGUUACCCGGGUUGCGGACAGUGUCUGGUGGGUAGUUUGACUGGGGCGGUCUCCUCCUAAAGAGUAACGGAGGAGCACGAAGGUUGGCUAAUCCUGGUCGGACAUCAGGAGGUUAGUGCAAUGGCAUAAGCCAGCUUGACUGCGAGCGUGACGGCGCGAGCAGGUGCGAAAGCAGGUCAUAGUGAUCCGGUGGUUCUGAAUGGAAGGGCCAUCGCUCAACGGAUAAAAGGUACUCCGGGGAUAACAGGCUGAUACCGCCCAAGAGUUCAUAUCGACGGCGGUGUUUGGCACCUCGAUGUCGGCUCAUCACAUCCUGGGGCUGAAGUAGGUCCCAAGGGUAUGGCUGUUCGCCAUUUAAAGUGGUACGCGAGCUGGGUUUAGAACGUCGUGAGACAGUUCGGUCCCUAUCUGCCGUGGGAGCUGGAGAACUGAGGGGGGCUGCUCCUAGUACGAGAGGACCGGAGUGGACGCAUCACUGGUGUUCGGGUUGUCAUGCCAAUGGCACUGCCCGGUAGCUAAAUGCGGAAGAGAUAAGUGCUGAAAGCAUCUAAGCACGAAACUUGCCCCGAGAUGAGUUCUCCCUGAGACUUAGAGUCUCCUGAAGGAACGUUGAAGACGACGACGUUGAUAGGCCGGGUGUGUAAGCGCAGCGAUGCGUUGAGCUAACCGGUACUAAUGAACCGUGAGGCUUAACCUU
rnacentral:rRNA from 1 species